rnacentral:rRNA from 1 species
GACGGAGGAUGCAAGCGUUAUCCGGAAUGAUUGGGCGUAAAGCGCCUGCAGGUGGCAGUUCAAGUCUGCUGUCAAAGACCGGGGCUUAACUUCGGAAAGGCAGUGGAAACUGAACAGCUAGAGUAUGGUAGGGGCAGAGGGAAUUCCUGGUGUAGCGGUGAAAUGCGUAGAGAUCAGGAAGAACAUCGGUGGCGAAGGCGCUCUGCUGGACCAUAACUGACACUCAGGGACGAAAGCUAGGGGAGCGAAUGGG